GCCUCAGCCCUCCGGGCCACGGGCCUCUCCGGGCGGGCGCCCAGGGUGGCGGCGCCUGCGGCCGAGCGCCUGGAGCAGGUAGUGUUGGUGCUUCUUUUCAGUGCCAGUCCAUCCAUCACGACCACAUUUGUCAUGAUGACAGUGACAAGGCAUGGUCCAUUUCUCAGAUUUGGGAACAAAACGUGAUUUUUCUUUAAAGUUGCCUCAAUUUUAACUCAUCCAUCUGUGACUGAGGAUGAAACCAGGGGUGAGAUGAAUUAAUUUGUAGCUUCAAUGGUACACUUUCCCAGAGUGGCCCGAAACACUUCCUGGAAUGC
rnacentral:lncRNA from 1 species